rnacentral:tRNA from 1 species
GGAUGGUCUAGUGGCUAGGAUACCUGGCUCUCACCCAGGAGGCCCGGGUUCGAUUCCCGGGUCGAAACG